CUUAAUUUUUUUUAAUGUAUCACGCAACCCGACAUAUUCAUCAGGGUGCUUUUCAGUAGAAAGGUUGAUGGAUAGGGGGAGCGGAAGUUUUAAC
rnacentral:sRNA from 1 species